UUUCCGUAGGUGAACCUGCGGAGGGAUCAUUAACACGUUCCAAAACCAAAACUAUCAACCCAAUCUGUGAACUCGUAUUUCGGCCUCUUAACUUUGAAGUUGGCAGCUGCAGUAUAUUGUUUAGAGUCUCGAUGGUGUGUUUUAUCAAAAACACGGCUCCAAUAUUUUACCUGAAAGCUGGGCUUUCACAGUUCCCUUCAAAGGAGGCCGAAAAAUUUAAUAGAGCUCUGACAGUUUAUCAUCAGCUGUUUGCUCUGUUAAAUUUCCAAUCACGCCCUUUAAUAAGUAACAUCCAGCGAUGGAUGGGCUUAAUUAACAAAUAAUCAAUAUCAUAUAUGGCCGCUGAUUUGUGUCAAAGAGCAUUAUAACACAAUGUUUCUUGUUGACUGUAGCGUGCUCAAUAACCAAAAGAAUAGAGUAAUACAACUCUUAGCAAUGGAUAUCUUGGUUCUC
rnacentral:misc_RNA from 1 species